ensembl:antisense Nespas neuroendocrine secretory protein antisense
CGUAUGGCGGCCAGGCCUAGAAGGCCACGGUCGCCGUGAGUGCCUUGGGGGCCAAGCUUUUUGAUGCCCUAAAUCGCCAAGGCAAGGUGGGAAGGUCAGGGACCCCCAUGGACCAUCCCUUGGGCUCAUGAUGGCGGUAGGCUAACUCACUACACAGAGAGGGCUAUCGCCGAGGCACCGCGGAGAGAGGCUUUUCCAGGGCCUGGAGGUGGUGGGCCAGGCCUAUGGAGAAAGAGAGCUUACUGCUCCGAUGCAGACGAGCAGUACAAGAUGGACAGAUUUCAUUUCCCAGAGAUGCUGAACCCUGCACAAGGUGAAAGGCGCACAGUCCCGGACCUCUCCGGACAAGUCGGAUCUGCCUAACCAGCUGCGCGAUACCCCGAUGUGAUCCUAGCUGUCUGCCAACCCAGGUAGCCCAGAAGGGCACCCGUAAAGAACCCUAUACCACCACUGAGUGUCCUCCAAGCACUAUCCACUAUCAAGAAACUCCUUUCUGCGCGGGAAGGUUGGCUUUAGGACGCACGGGAGAGGUGCGCGCGCCCCUUUUCACGAUCUCAGGCCUCCUCGAACCUCCAGAGGUGCUCACCGAGAAGCCGACUCACCCUCUGGCUCUGCAGAGAGUGGCCCCACUGCGCAAGGACUGUUGGGGCCGAAAAGGAUUAACCUUAUGAGGAGAGAAGCUGGGGUCUGAAGACCCCAAUCUCGCCUCGGGGCAAAAAGAAGGGAUGUACCUACCUUCAAACCACUGCGAACUUUCUAAAGCUCCGCGCCUCAGCUUGUGGCUCAUCAUUACUUCAUCUAGCUCACGCUACAUGAGAAAAACAGGUACGUCAGCAAGAGCAUCAUGGCUAGGGGGCGGCCAGAGACCACUGGAUCCUGCUGUUGGACUCGGAAGAACAAGGUAAAACGACCUGCUUGUUCCAGAGCGCGCUUGGAAGAGCCGAUGGACUCAGUUAAAACAGUUCUGCCAACAUCAUAUGGAGCACAAAGACAUUGGUCUAGCCAAUUUUAGGGCACACAGAGAGAGGAAAACAGGACUGUGGGUGCUGGUAAAUGCCCGUUUGAUGGAAACUGAUGCCAGCUGUCAGCAGUGAGGUGGAUGAUGGUUUUUAGUGUGUGUGGGAAAGUGCCUCAUUUUUCAGGGGAAAGCUUUAUGCCCGUGAUAGAGAUGGCAGCCCACAUCCUAUGCACUAGUACAGAAACACCAGGACUGCCCACAUUAUUAAAAACUAUGCAUUACAUAAUACAUAUCUUGGACCAGG